AAAAAAGUUUCUGGAGUCAACUUGCAGUCAUCCAGAAAUCCAGGCAUUGAAGUACUGCAUUCCUUCUUCCCAGACUCUUGGAUCAUUGAGCGUGUAGUCCAGCCAUUUCUGUUCCUGUACACGGAGAAAACACAUUUGCCACUGAGGAUUUUGUAUGAUAUCAUCUUGUAGCCAAAGCAAAAGUUGUGGGAGGAAGCAGCAGAAGAUGAAGAUGAAAUAGGCUGGGGCUGAUUACAAAAUACCAUGAAGGAUCCCAGGAAAGUGAUUCCAAUUCACAGAUGAAUCAUUAUACCAGGCUGGAGAGAAAUAAUGAAACUAAUAUGAAAACAAAUGUGGAUACAGAAAUUUCCUUUCAACUUAGACAAGCCAACAUUUUCCUGGAUGUCAAUUUUUGUAGUAAAUCUUGGCUUAGUGACUAAUAAUGGAUUUAUCCUAUUUUUUUGGAUUGAAAAAAGAAAUUGCUAGUGUAGUGGCCCACAGGAGGUUCUUUCAAAGCAAAUGAGCCCCUGUUUUCCAGGUAGGGGUGAUGUUGAUUCUGCCUCAGGCCCUGUGGGAUGAUCUUCCUGGAAAAUGGUCUCAGUUCAAGCUUCUCCUUUAAGCUCCAAAGUGAUGAAUGAAUCCUGUACAAGCUUGUGAUCCUGAAAGCCACGCUAAAGCCUGCAGGUUGCUGUGUUUGGCUCCUGACACCUGUUUCCAUUAACUACGAGACUCAACUGGGCACAUGAUCUAACUGUGGGUUGGGCUGCAGAAAAAUCUUGUUUUCAAGGAUCUACAUGCAGAUGGAUGAUUCAGUCAUUUGAGUCUCCACCGUCUGCCUUCUGUUGCCUGAUUUUAGUCAUCAAGGAGAUCAAGGGGAGAAGCAGCAUGGAAAAGUCCACCUGGGCUGGCAGUUCUAGCAGGACACUGGGUGCAAAGGGGAGGUGGUGGAAACUUUCUGUUGGAUACAAUUUCUAGGUUAGGUGGUGACUUUGAGUAUCCAGGUUUUUCUUAUAUAUAUUUCAGAUCCUUGGAGGAAGAGAGGUAAUCUGUAUAUUCACUUAGGGCAAUGAAUCCCAACAUGGAUUUUUAUGGAUUAGGAAAACUAAUUUUUUUUUGAUCAACAGAGUGUUGGUGGCUUUUUCUUUUCCUUCACAACAAAUGCGUUUAGGAGGUGGCUUUAAACACCUACUAUCAGGCAAACUUCUGUCAUCAUCAUUUCAAUUAAAAAAUGGACCUCUAACCAACACCCAUCCCAAUGAAGGAAAGAUACAAUCUCCCAAAACCGGCAAUUUUUAAAAUUUAGUAAGUUUGGCUUUUGUGAAAAAAACUCACUACAUUAUUUUUCUCAUUUUGCCAUGGAAUUUUGAGAACCUUGCCUAGCAAGGCAAGGCCUAAUGGCCUAGCAUUUGGGAACCUCAGCUCUAGAAAACUCUAGAAUGCCAGGGCAGAUCCACCAGGAAUCUAUUUCAUGCAGAAUCAAUUAUCCCAACAGAGAAGCAGUUUCAAGGUCUUCGAGUGGCUGGCUCAGGAGCUUAUUGUUAAGACUUUAGAGCUUCCCUGUUUUUGAUAGUGUUCUUGGUGAUCAGGGAGCGAUCAGAGGUAAGAGAGAGGCACAGAACAUUGACUGACUUGCAGCACAAAGGGAUGUUUUGCAUGGGAUUUUGUAUGGGGUCACUUGGGUGACAGCUUAUUUCCCAAUCCCAAAAGCACCUUGGUUACGUUCCUUGGACAUGGAAAGGAGGCAGGGGCUGUAGGAGAGCUAAAACUUAAUUAACAUAUAUAAAAGACUGAAGCAGGAAAUUGGGAGAUCAGGAUGGCCCCCUUCAGUCACUUUAUAAUCAUUGUAUACUUGGUAGGUAGAGUUAGUGUCAUUGCCCAGCAAGAGCAUUGUCAGCGGCCAGGUUAGCAUCAGCAGAGGUGAGAGAGGUGGAGAGGUGCCAUCACGGCAGCGACAGACUCUAGGCAGAAUCAAGGCGAGGUCAGUGCAUGCUAAGAAAGUGGAGACUUAGAGGGAGCUAGGAUCACAGGGCAAAGGCGCCAGAGAUUGGCAGAGGUGGGCACUGGUGACCAGUAAAAUAAUGAUGACAUGACUCUGCCCAGAGAGGGGAGAAGUUUUGGGAGCUCCAUUUCCAGGAUUCCACUGAUGAGGACAGAGGGUCAAAGUAUAAAUAGCUGCCGUAUAUGCUCAUUCUCCCAGCCAACCAUCUCCUGAUUUUUAACAUCUUGCUUUGGUGUACAUUUGGUACAAUGGGUGAACAACUAUUUAGACAUUAUUAACCAAAGUCCAUAGUUUACAUUAGGAUUAACUUUUUGUGUGAUACAUUCCAUGGGUUUUGACAACUGUAUAUUAUCACGUAUCCACCAUUACAGUAUCAUACGGAAUAGUUUCACUGCCCUGGAAGUCCCCUGUGCAUCCCCUGUCAUCCCUCCCUUGCUUUCUGGUGAACCCCUAGUGACCACUGAUCUUUCUAGUGUCUUUAUAGUCUUGUGUUUCCAGAAUCUUAUAUAGCUGGAUUCAGACAGUAAUGAAGGCUGGCUUUUUUCACUUAACAAUAUGCAUGUAACCUCCUCCUACCUCUUUUCUUGGCUUGAUAGUUCAUUCUUUUUAACACUAUUUUUAAAAUUAAUUAAUUAAUUAAUUAAUUUUUUGAGACAGAGUCUUGCUCUGUCACCCAGGCUGGAGUGCGGUGGCAUAAUCUUGUCUCACUGCAAACUCUGCCUCCUGGAUUCAAGAGAUUCUCCUGCCUCAGCCUCCCGAGUAGCUGGGAUUACAGGUGUGCACCACCGUGCCCGGCUAAUUUUUGUAUUUUUAGUAGAGAUGGGGUUUCACCAUGUUGGCCAGGCUGGUCUCAAACUCCUGGCCUUAAGUGAUCUGCCUGCCUCGGCCUCCCAAAGUGCUGGGAUUACAGGAGUGAGACACCAUGCCUGGCCAACACUGUUUUAAAUUGUGAUGAAAUAUAGACAACAUGAAAUUUACUGUCUUCACCAUUUUUAAGCGUAGAGUUUAGUGGUGUUAAGUACAUUCACAGUGAUGUACAACUGCCCCACCAUCCAUCUUCAGAACUCUUUAUGCAAAGCUAAAACUCCGUCUAUUAAAAAAUAACUCCCCAUUUCCCCUCUCUCCAGCCCGUGCAGCCACCAUUUUACUUUCUGAUUUUUCUUUCACUCAACUGCUCUAGUAGUUCAUAUAAGUAGAAUCAUACAAUAUUUGUUGGGGUUUGACUGGCUUAUUUCACUUAGCAUAAUGUCCUCAAGUUUCAUCCAGGUUGCAGCAUGUGUCAGAAUUUCCUUUCUUUUUAAGUCUGAAUAAUAUCCCAUUGUGUGUAUACACCAUAUUUUAUCUAAUUCAUUCAACGAUGCACACUUGAGCUGCUUUCAUCUUUUGUUAUUGUGAAUAAUGGUGCCAUGAACACAAGUGUGUAAAUAUCUCUUUGUUUUCGAUUCUUUUGAGUAUAUAAACAAAAAUGGAAUUGCUGAGUGAAGUAGUAAUUUUAUUUUUAAUUUGUUAAGGAUCCACCACACCGUUUGCCAUAGCAGCUGCACCAACAGUACACGAGGAUUCCAAUUUUGCCACAUCAUCACCAACACUUAUUAUUUUCUGUUUUUGUUUUUGUUUUUUUUUUGAGACGGAGUCUCACUCUCACCCAGGCUGGAGUGCAGUGGCGUGAUCUCGGCUCACUGUAACCUCUGCCUCCUGGAUUCAAGCGAUUCUCCUGCCUCAGCCUCCCAAGUAGCUGGGAUUACAGAUGCCCGCUACCGCACCCGGCUGAUUUUUGUAUUUUUUAAUAGAGACGGGGUUUCAGCAUGUUGGCCAGGCUGGUCUCGAACUCCUGGUGCAGUGGCUCAUACCUGUAAUCCCAGCACUUUGGGAGGCCGAGGUGGAUGGGUCACUUGAGGUCAGGAGUAUUUUCUGCUUUUUUUUUUGAGAGUAGCCAUCCUAAUGGGUGUGAGGUAGUAUAUCAUUGUGGAUGAUAGCUCAUUUCUUUUUUAUCUCGGAAUAAUAUUCCCUUUUAUAGAUGUACCACAGUUUGCUUAUCUAUUUGCUUACCGGAGGCCAUCUCGGUUGCUUCCAAGUUUUGGCAGUUAUGAAUAAGGCUGGCAUAAGUGUUCAUGUGCAGGUUUUUGUGCGGACAUAUGUUUUUAACUCCUUUGGGUAAAUACCAAGAGAGUGAUCACUGGAUGAUAUGGUAAGAGUGUGUUUAGCUUUGUAAGACACUGCCAAACUGUCUUCCAAAGUGGCUGUACCAUUUUGCAUUUCCAAAAAAGACUAUUUUUAUGUCUAUUACCAUUGCUUCCCAUAUUUCUUGACUGUCCUUGCUCUGGUUUGUGUGUUCUGGUGAGGAAAAGCUGCAGAUGGAUCACUGACAAUUGGUAGAAUCUCUUUUUUAAUGCUCUUUUAAUAUGACCUUCAAUCAGCUAGCUCUCUGGAGGCUGAAGUUGGAAGGGACUGAGGUGAAAAUUGCUGGCUUUGUGUUCUGACAGCCAGAAUGCUUUUUCUUAAGUGAAUAAAAUAUAUUAAGAAAAUUAAAACUUUUAACACUCCCCAGAAUAAGAGGCACAAAUCACUUAAGUGUUAAUAUUCUUUUCUACUACAUUUCCUAUCCUAUUAAUACUUGGAUACCGUUCAAUAUCUGGACCCUUCCUUCCACAGAAAUCUGUUUAUUUUUCAGGGAAGGUGAUAGAGAAACUCCUCCUGAAAGUCUAGAUCUGGAACUCAGAAUUUGAAAUACCAGCCUCUUCAGAAAUAUUCAGAAGUUUUUUUUUUUUUUAAACAGGAAGAACUUCUAAAUUAAGAUCAUUGUUUUACUAUCGCAAGAACAAAAAACCAAACACCGCAUA
rnacentral:lncRNA from 1 species